rnacentral:rRNA from 1 species
AUUGAACGCUGGCGGCAUGCCUUACACAUGCAAGUCGAACGGUAACAGGUCUUCGGAUGCUGACGAGUGGCGAACGGGUGAGUAAUACAUCGGAACGUGCCUAGUAGUGGGGGAUAACUACUCGAAAGAGUGGCUAAUACCGCAUGAGAUCUACGGAUGAAAGCAGGGGAUCGCAAGACCUUGUGCUACUAGAGCGGCCGAUGGCAGAUUAGGUAGUUGGUGGGAUAAAAGCUUACCAAGCCGACGAUCUGUAGCUGGUCUGAGAGGACGAUCAGCCACACUGGGACUGAGACACGGCCCAGACUCCUACGGGAGGCAGCAGUGGGGAAUUUUGGACAAUGGGCGCAAGCCUGAUCCAGCAAUGCCGCGUGCAGGAUGAAGGCCUUCGGGUUGUAAACUGCUUUUGUACGGAACGAAAAGCCCUGGGUUAAUACCCUGGGGUCAUGACGGUACCGUAAGAAUAAGCACCGGCUAACUACGUACCAGCCGCCGCAGUAAUAC